GGGUUAUGAGUCGUUCAGUAUAGGUCAGGGUUAUGAGUCGUUCAGUGCAGUAUAGGUUAGGGUUAUGAGUCGUUCAGUGUAGGUCAGGGUUAUGAGUCGUUUAGUGCAGUAUAGGUUAGGGUUAUGAGUCGUUCAGUAUAGGUUAGGGUUAUGAGUCGUUCAGUGCAGUACAGGUUAGGGUUAUGAGUCGUUCAGUGCAGUAUAGGUUAGGGUUAUGAGUCGUUCAGUAUAGGUUAGGGUUAUGAGUCGUUCAGUGCAGUAUAGGUUAGGGUUAUGAGUCGUUCAGUAUAGGUUAGGGUUAUGUGUCGUUCGGUAUAGGUUAGGGUUAUGAGUCGUUCAGUGCAGUAUAGGUUAGGGUUAUGAGUCAUUCAGUGCAGUGUAGGUUAGGGUUAUGAGUCGUUCAGUAUAGGUUAGGGUUAUGAGUCGUUCAGUAUAGGUUAGGGUUAUGAGUCGUUCAGUGCAGUGUAGGUUAGGGUUAUGAGUCGUUCAGUGCAGUA
ensembl:lncRNA